rnacentral:rRNA from 1 species
UACGUAGGGUGCAAGCGUUGUCCGGAAUUAUUGGGCGUAAAGAGCUCGUAGGCGGUUUGUCGCGUCUGCUGUGAAAACCCGAGGAUCAACCUCGGGCCUGCAGUGGGUACGGGCAGACUAGAGUGCGGUAGGGGAGAUUGGAAUUCCUGGUGUAGCGGUGGAAUGCGCAGAUAUCAGGAGGAACACCAAUGGCGAAGGCAGAUCUCUGGGCCGUAACUGACGCUGAGGUGCGAGGGCGUGGGGAGCGAACCGG